ACUUCUGUGGUGUAGUUGGUAGCGCCUUGGCUUAGUAAUUAUAAGCCCUAGGCUCAAAUCCUGGUUGGGGUA